AUUGAACGCUGGCGGCAGGCCUAACACAUGCAAGUCGAACGAGUGGCGGACGGGUGAGUAAUGUAUGGGGAACGGCCCGAGGGAGAGGGAUCACUACUGGAAACGGUUGCUAAUACCGCCUACUAUCGGAUGUGCCCAUAUGGGAUUAGCUAGGAGGUGGGGUAAAGGCUCACCAAGGCGACGAUCCCUAGCUGGUCGGAGAGGAUGACCAGCCACACUGGAACUGAGACACGGUCCAUACUCCUACGGGAGGCAGCAGUGGGGAAUAUUGCACAAUGGGCGAAAGCCUGAUGCAGCCAUGCCGCGUGUAUGAAGAAGGCCUUCGGGUUGUAAAGUACUUUCAGCGGGUAGGCGUUACUCGCAGAAGAAGCACCGGCUAACUCCGUGCCAGCAGCCGCGGUAAUUC
rnacentral:rRNA from 1 species